rnacentral:rRNA from 1 species
GAGUAGAACGCCUAGACGGCAGGCCGUAAUACAUGCAAGUACGUACGGCGAACAACAGUGCGAGGCAAUCGCAACCGGUGGCGAGUGGCGCACGGGUGAGUAACGCGUAUGUAACCUACCCUUCUCCGGGACAUAACUCCGCGAAAGCGGUGCUAAUAUCCCAUACCAACUCAUCAAGACAUCUUCUUGAGUUGAAAGCAGCAAUGCGGUGAAGGAUGGGCAUGCGUCCCAUUAGCUGGUUGGUGAGGUAAUGGCCCACCAAGGCUACGAUGGGUAGGGGUUCUGAGAGGAAAGCCCCCCACACUGGUACUGAGACACGGACCAGACUCCUACGGGAGGCAGCAGUAAGGAAUAUUGGGCAAUGGUCGAAAGACUGACCCAGCCAUGCCGCGUGCAGGAUGAAGGCCCUAUGGGUUGUAAACUGCUUUUAGCCGGGAAUAAACACCCGUUUUAUAACGGGCCCGAAGGUACCGGCUGAAUAAGCAUCGGCUAACUCCGUG